AGUCCGGUAGCCAAGCGGUCGAAGGCACUCGUCUUUUAAACGAGGGACCGUCGGUUCGAAUCCGACCCGGACUA
rnacentral:tRNA from 1 species